GAGUUUGAUCCUGGCUCAGGACGAACGCUGGCGGCGUGCUUAACACAUGCAAGUCGAACGGAAAGGCCCUGCUUUUGUGGGGUGCUCGAGUGGCGAACGGGUGAGUAACACGUGAGUAACCUGCCCUUGACUUUGGGAUAACUUCAGGAAACUGGGGCGUAAUACCGGAUAGGAGCUCCUGCUGCAUGGUGGGGGUUGGAAAGUUUCGGCGGUUGGGGAUGGACUCGCGGCUUAUCAGCUUGUUGGUGGGGUAGUGGCUUACCAAGGCUUUGACGGGUAGCCGGCCUGAGAGGGUGACCGGCCACAUUGGGACUGAGAUACGGCCCAGACUCCUACGGGAGGCAGCAGUGGGGAAUAUUGCACAAUGGGCGGAAGCCUGAUGCAGCAACGCCGCGUGCGGGAUGACGGCCU
rnacentral:rRNA from 1 species